UUUCCGUAGGUGAACCUGCGGAAGGAUCAUUCAUAAUAAAGUGUUUUAUGGCACUUUUUAAAAAUCCAUAUCCACCUUGUGUGCAAUGUUAGAUCUCGUCAAUCUUGGCGAGGUUUUUUAUACAUCAACUCAUUCUUUAACUAAUUUGUCUGAAAAAUAUUAUGAAUACUUAAUUCAAAAUACAACUUUCAACAACGGAUCUCUUGGCUCUC
rnacentral:misc_RNA from 1 species